CUUGGUCAUUUAGAGGAAGUAAAAGUCGUAACAAGGUAUCCGUAGGUGAACUGCGGAUGGAUCAUUACUGUAAACGAGGCGGCUGCUCCCUUUGGGGAAAAGCCCAACCCUCACCACACUUUGUGAACUGUUUACUGUCUUUGGCAGGCGGUCUUUCAUUGAAUCUCUUUUGGUUCCCUUUGGGGGGCCGACCGAGAGAAGGAAGGAUCCAACCCUGCCGCUGGGUGUUCGGACCCAGCUUUUGUUUUAACUCUUAAGCUGAACCAAACUGUCUGAAACACUUAUACACUUUAAAAUGUAUAAACAACUUUUGACAACGGAUCUCUUGGCUCUCGCAACGAUGAAGAACGCAGCGAAAUGCGAUACGUAAUGUGAAUUGCAGAAUUCCGUGAAUCAUCGAAUCUUUGAACGCAUAUUGCGACCUUCUGGUAUUCCAGGAGGUAUGCCUGUUUGAGAAUCGUGACCCCCCUCACUCUCUACCUAGUUGGGAGUGGAUUUGAGUCUUUCCCACCAAAACGCGCGCCUCUUGGGGUUGUGUGAAACAGUGGGUGACUUGAAAUAGAGGUAGGCCUUGAACGGAACACCCCGUUUGGUGAAAAGGCGUGAUAAAACGUUCCCCUUCUAAUCAGAUGGAAGGAGCAAGUACAUCCUCGCUUCACGUAACCUCGGUAAAAGUGAAAGUUCAAACUUGGCUUGCAAGCGCAGGAAAUGAAGGCUUCUCUCGUUUCAACGCGAAAGGAACCUUUGUGUACUGAAUCUCAAAUCAGGCAAGACUACCCGCUGAACUUAAGCAUAUCAAUAAGCGGAGGA
rnacentral:rRNA from 1 species